AACGAACGCUGGCGGCAUGCCUAACACAUGCAAGUCGAACGAGACCUUCGGGUCUAGUGGCGCACGGGUGCGUAACGCGUGGGAACCUGCCCUUAGGUUCGGAAUAACUCCCCGACAGGGGUGCUAAUACCGGAUAAUGUCUUCGGACCAAAGAUUUAUCGCCUUUGGAUGGGCCCGCGUUGGAUUAGCUAGUUGGUAGGGUAAAAGCCUACCAAGGCGACGAUCCAUAGCUGGUCUGAGAGGAUGAUCAGCCACACUGGGACUGAGACACGGCCCAGACUCCUACGGGAGGCAGCAGUGGGGAAUAUUGGACAAUGGGCGAAAGCCUGAUCCAGCAAUGACGCGUGAGUGAUGAAGGCCUUAGGGAUGUAAAGCUCUUUUAACCGGGAUGAUAAUGACAGUACCGGGAGAAUAAGCUCCGGCUAACUCCGUG
rnacentral:rRNA from 1 species